GGGGAAGUCUGCCAAACAAAUGCAGUUGUGGGUAUUCACAGGUCGCGUUUUCCGAUUACACAACACACUGCACGCUCCUAUAUAAAACAGCCGUGGCCUCCAGUCCAGCAUUAUUUGUCGGACCAACCAUUUCCCAGAUAAAACCAUGAUCAGCACCAAGACCCUCCUUGUCGGACUUCUUGUCCUGGCUCUGGUCUUCACCAUCGCCACAGCACAGUUCGGAGGAGGCUACCGUGGUGGCUUCGGUGGUGGACGAGGCUUCGGUGGUGGCGGACGUGGAUUUGGUGGUGGCGGACGUGGAUUUGGUGGUGGACGAGGAUUUGGUGGUGGACGUGGAUUUGGAGGAGGCUAUAGAGGCUGAUUCUUCACUUUCCCAUCAACACUUGACCCAGUCAUUUGAGAGCGCCGUGGCCAAGGGGCCAGUAAAACGCCGUGAUAUGAGAGAGGCCUGCGGGAUCCGGCUGGUCCUGUGAUCGCAGGCGUUUGAAAAGUGAAUAUGCCUUUGUUGAACAUGACCUGGAAUAAAAAUUUCUUCUUUGACUGUCAUCCACGUA